rnacentral:piRNA from 1 species
AACAAGGUGAGGACUGGAGAAAA